AAUUGGUUGACAGAUUUAAUGUAUUUGACUUAGGCUCAAAAAAUGAAGCGUUGCUUCACCAAUGA
rnacentral:tRNA from 1 species